rnacentral:sRNA from 1 species
CAUUAACGGGAGGAUGUUCCCAAGGCAGUAACGGGCAUCCAGGGGCGCUGGUUCCUGAGCAAGCUCGCUCUGGCCUGAGCUCAUCGGAGCUGUCCGGAGGCUAAUUCAGGCCAGAUCCUGAAUCAUCGGCUUCAAUUAAGUUCACUUGACCGUCGGCGCUGGGCUUGCCUUCCUGAUGUUGAUCAGCUGCAGCUGGACUGUGUCGCUUGUUCUGUGUUUGGGACAGGACAGUGUUCUCCCAGUGCCCAAAUUCCAAGGGGGGAGUUCGAUGGUCUUGCCCGAGUGGUGGGACUCUCGUCCUGCCACAUUGUAAAUCACCUUGUGAGGGCAAAAUGCAAAGAGGUGACCCUGCACAAGGACGGGCCCCUGGGGGAGACAGUCCUGGAGUGCUACAACUGCGGCUGUCGCAACGUCUUCCUCCUCGGCUUCAUCCCGGCCAAAGCUGACUCAGUGGUGGUGCUGCUGUGUAGGCAGCCCUGUGCCAGCCAGAGCAGCCUCAAGGACAUCAACUGGGACAGCUCGCAGUGGCAGCCGCUGAUCCAGGACCGCUGCUUCCUGU